GAUGAAGAACGCAGCGAAAUGCGAUAAGUAAUGUGAAUUGCAGAAUUCCGUGAAUCAUCGAAUCUUUGAACGCACAUUGCGCCCGCCAGCAUUCUGGCGGGCAUGCCUGUUCGAGCGUCAUUUCAACCCUCGACCUCCCUUUGGGGAAGUCGGCGUUGGGGACCGGCAGCACACCGCCGGCCCUGAAAUGGAGUGGCGGCCCGUCCGCGGCGACCUCUGCGUAGUAAUCCAACUCGCACCGGAACCCCGACGCGGCCACGCCGUAAAACACCCAACUUCUGAACGUUGACCUCGAAUCAGGUAGGACUACCCGCUGAACUUAAGCAUAUCAAUAAGCGGAGGA
rnacentral:misc_RNA from 1 species